rnacentral:rRNA from 1 species
UACGUAGGGAGCAAGCGUUGUCCGGAAUCAUUGGGCGUAAAGCGUGCGCAGGCGGUGAUGUAAGACAGAUGUGAAAUCCCCGGGCUCAACCUGGGACCUGCAUUUGUGACUGCAUCGCUAGAGUACGGCAGAGGGGGGAUGGAAUUCCGCGUGUAGCAGUGAAAUGCGUAGAUAUGCGGAGGAACACCGAUGGCGAAGGCAAUCCCCUGGGCCUGCACUGACGCUCAUGCACGAAAGCGUGGGGAGCAAACAGG